GGCGUAAGGGCGCGUAGGCGGUUGUAUGAGUGUGAUGUGAAAGCCCCGGGCUCAACCUGGGAAGUGCAUCGCAAACGAUACGACUAGAGUAUAUGAGAGGGUGGCGGAAUUUCCGGUGUAGCGGUGAAAUGCGUAGAGAUCGGAAGGAACGUCAAUGGCGAAGGCAGCCACCUGGCAUAAUACUGACGCUGAGGCGCGAAAGCGUGGGGAGCGAACAGGAUUAGAUACCCUGGUAGUCCACGCCGUAAACGAUGAGAACUAGAUGUUGGAGGGGGAACCCUUCAGUAUCGAAGCUAACGCGAUAAGUUCUCCGCCUGGGAAGUACAGUCGCAAGACUGAAAUUCAAAAGAAUUGACGGGGGCCCGCACAAGCGGUGGAGCAUGUGGUUUAAUUCGAUGCAACGCGAAGAACCUUACCUACCCUUGACAUCCUGCGAAUCCCGAUGAGAGUUGGGAGUGCCGCAAGGAGCGCAGAGACAGGUGCUGCAUGGCUGUCGUCAGCUCGUGUUGUGAGAUGUUGGGUUAAGUCCCGUAACGAGCGCAACCCUUGUCCUUAGUUGCCAUCAUUUAGUUGGGGACUCUAAGGAGACUGCCGGUGAUGAACCGGAGGAAGGCGGGGACGACGUCAAGUCAUCAUGGCCUUUAUGGGUAGGGCUACACACGUGCUACAAUGGGGCGUACAGAGGGUCGCCAACCCGCGA
rnacentral:rRNA from 1 species